ACCACCCAGAUUCCUUAUCCUUCCGAUCCAAGCAUUGGUCUGAGUGGAAAACAGGAGGGAAAGUAAACCAAAAUGGACUUGGGUUCUUUAACGACAUACAAGUUCAUUUCAAACAUAU
rnacentral:snoRNA from 1 species